rnacentral:rRNA from 1 species
AUACGGAGGGUGCAAGCGUUGUUCGGAAUUACUGGGCGUAAAGGGCGGGUAGGCGGUCCGUUAAGUCGUUUGUGAAAAUCCGGGGCUCAACCCCGUGGACUGCAGACGAUACUGGCAGACUGGAGACCGGUAGAGGCUAGCGGAAUUCCUGGUGUAGCGGUGGAAUGCGUAGAUAUCAGGAAGAACACCUGUGGCGAAGGCGGCUAGCUGGGCCGGGUCUGACGCUGAACCGCGAAAGCGUGGGGAGCAAACAGGAUUAGAAACCCCAGUAGUCC